rnacentral:rRNA from 1 species
GACGAACGCUGGCGGCGUGCUUAACACAUGCAAGUCGAACGGAAAGGCCCUGCUUUUGUGGGGUGCUCGAGUGGCGAACGGGUGAGUAACACGUGAGUAACCUGCCCUUGACUUUGGGAUAACUUCAGGAAACUGGGGCUAAUACCGGAUAGGAGCUCCUGCUGCAUGGUGGGGGUUGGAAAGUUUCGGCGGUUGGGGAUGGACUCGCGGCUUAUCAGCUUGUUGGUGGGGUAGUGGCUUACCAAGGCUUUGACGGGUAGCCGGCCUGAGAGGGUGACCGGCGACAUUGGGACUGAGAUACGGCCCAGACUCCUACGGGCGGCAGCAGUGGGGAAUAUUGCGCAAUGGGCGGAAGCCUGAUGCAGCAGCGCCGCGUGCGGGAUGACGGCCUUCGGGUUGUAAACCGCUUUCGCCUGUGCCGAAGCGUGAGUGACGGUAAUGGGUAAAGAAGCACCGGCUAACUACGUG